UACGUAGGGUGCAAGCGUUAAUCGGAAUUACUGGGCGUAAAGCGUGCGCAGGCGGUUAUUUAAGACAGGCGUGAAAGCCCCGGGCUCAACCUGGGAGGUGCGCUUGUGACUGGAUAGCUAGAGUACGGCAGAGGGGGGUGGAAUUCCACGUGUAGCAGUGAAAUGCGUAGAGAUGUGGAGGAACACCGAUGGCGAAGGCAGCCCCCUGGGCUAGUACUGACGCUCAGGCACGAAAGCGUGGGGAGCAAACAGG
rnacentral:rRNA from 1 species